AAAGAGGAAACGGCGCAGGAACAGCAAAUGCAGAGAGGAUGCACACUCUGAAGAGGGCAGGCAGCUUCUGCACCGAGGGAGCAAAGGGGCGUGUCAGGGGCAGCUGCUGGAAGGAGGCGCAAGCACCACGGAGAGUCUGGGAUGCCCAGCCAAGGAGCCCUGGAAGGGUUGCCCUGGGGACUGACACUGUGGGCUCUGUGUUUUAGCCAAGUCACCCAGGCAGCUGAACAGAAGAUGGACUGGAGGGAGAAGCCUGGAUGUAGGAUCGCUCAGCAACAAAGGAGCCAGAAAAGGCAAGGUGUACACACCGUGUGCAGCAUGGGCGAGCUGCAGGCAUGCAGAUGAGGAAACUGAGGCUUGGAGAGGCUCUCUGCCUUUGUCAACCUGGAGAUGCUGGGAAGGAAGUGAGGCCCAUCCCACCUCAGAUGCCUGUCCUCUGUCGUCAGGAGCAUUCUCUUGUUCUUCCGGGCUUGGCCAAGCGGUGGUCACUAUCCUUAAUCCCUCUCCCUGUGGGGUCUUCCCUAUCUUGAGCCUGUGGACAGCUGUGCAGUGGCAAGAAAAAGGCCUUCAGAGCUACGCAGACCUGGCUUCAAAUCCCAGCCUCCCUGAUGAGCCCUGGUGGUCUUGCAUGCUUGCCCUUGGGACUCAGACACCAUAUUGUGAGGAAGCCCAAGCUACAUGCAGAGGCCACUAUAGUUGUUCUGGCCAACAGCCCAAGCUUCAGCUGCCAGACAUAUAAAUAAACCAACUCUUCAAAUGAUUUCAGUUUCCAGACUUCAGUGCAUCCCAGGAAUGCCUUCUUCAUCUGUUGAAAUCCAGCCCAUCUAUGAAGAGUCAAAGGCCGCCUUGGCCGUGAAGGCCUCUGGUGCUGUGGGCCCAUGCCAGGGCCCAGGCCCAGGGGUUCUGCAGAGACCACCAGGAUCCCAGCAGGACAAUAGGAAAUCUCAGCAGAGGCAUUCCAGAACACGGAAAAGCCAGUUCCUGAUGAAUCCAGAGGAUGUUCAAAGCUCACCAGGCCAAUGAACCCCGACGGAUUCCCCAGUGGGCCCUCUCUCCUUUCCGUAGAUCUUCUAGGAGUUUUACCAUUUAAAGAGAACUGCAGGAGGCCAUCUUAACCAGACUGUAUGUUUCAUUAAACCAAGAAUGGUAUUUAUUCUAGCAGUAUUCUAGGCACUGGGAUACAACAAAGAGCACAAAUUGAGAGGUGACAGCGUGCUGGCAGUCCUCACAGCCCUCGCUCGCUCUCGGCGCCUCCUCUGCCUGGGCUCCCACUUUGGCGGCACUUGAGGAGCCCUUUGGCCCGCCGCUGCACUGUGGGAGCCCCUUUAUGGGCUGGCCAAGGCUGGAGCCCACUCCCUCAGCUUGCAGGGAGGUGUGGAGGGAGAGGUGCGAGCGGGAACCAGGGCUGCGUGCGGCGCUUGCGGGCCAGCUGGAGUUCCGGGUGGGCGUGGGCUUGGCAGGCCCGGCACUCGGAGUAGCCGGCCAGCCCUGCUGGCCCCGGGCAAUGAGGGACUUAGCACCCGGGCCAGUGGCUGCGGAGGGUGUACUGGGUCCCCCAGCAGUGCCAGCCCACCGGUGCUGCACUCGAUUUCUCACCGAGCCUUAGUUGCCUUCCUGCGGGGCAGGGCUCGGGACCUGCAGCCUGCCAUGCCUGAGCCUCCCACCCACUCCAUGGGCUCCUGUGCAGCCCGAGCCUCCCCAACGAGCAUCACUCCCUGCUCCACGGCGCCCAGUCCCAUCGACCACCCAAGGGCUGAGGAAUGCGAGCACACAGCACGUGACUGGCAG
rnacentral:lncRNA from 10 species